GGAAAAGCUUCAAAAAAAUAAUUUUUUUCAAAUUAAAUUUUUUUAAUUUUUUAAUAAAAUUAAAAUAAUUUUUUAAUUUUUUAUCAAAUAUUAAUAUAAUAUCUUAAAAUAUUUUUUGAGAGUCAGAAAAUAUUUUUUAAUAUUUUAAAAUUUUAAUCAUAUAGGAUCUAAGUUUUUAUGCAGAACUUUGCUUUGGUACCGUUGAUACGAAAUCAAGUUGAAGCA
rnacentral:lncRNA from 1 species